rnacentral:misc_RNA from 1 species
UAAUAACAUUCGUGAAUUUUUUCGCGGAUUUGAGUUUUCCAGUAUUUUUAUAAUAUAAAAAUGUUGGUAACUUUAAAAUUAUUUAUAACUUGGUACAAGUUGAAAACGUGCUAUAUGUGUGGUUCGCUGACAACUUGUCCAUCUUCAUAUAUUAUGCGCGCACUUGGUUUUUACGCUCUGUGCGAGUAUAUAUUUUUU